AAGUCGUAACAAGGUUGUCCUUCUUGAAGCCUUCUCACACCCGACUAUAACCGUGUGUGCAGUCCACCGUGCCACCCGUGGGCGACGCCACUACUGUGCUGGGACCCUAUUCUUAGGGGUAUCAGCAGCCAGGAUUUUGACCCUGGUUCACAGAUUAAAAGGUGGCGGUCCGGGCGAUGCGUCGCCGAUCAAGAUAUAACCGGUCUCCGUCGAUUCACGACGGCAGAGCCAACGUUCCGUAGGUGAACCUGCGGAAGGAUCAUUAUCGAGUUAGGGUCCUCUGGGCCCCAUCUCCAACCCUUGUCUAUCUUACCAUGUUGCUUUGGCGGGCCCGUCUUCACGACCGCCGGGGACCUUUUGGUCUCUGGCCCGCGCCCGCCAAUGGCCCAACCAAAUUCUAUGAUCAGUGAUGUCUGAGUUUAGUGAUAAUAGUUAAAACUUUCAACAACGGAUCUCUUGGUUCUGGCAUCGAUGAAGAACGCAGCGAAAUGCGAUAAGUAAUGUGAAUUGCAGAAUUCAGUGAAUCAUCGAAUCUUUGAACGCACAUUGCGCCCUUUGGUAUUCCGAAGGGCAUGCCUGUUCGAGCGUCAUUAUCAACCCUCAAGCCCGGCUUGUCAUUAGGCCUCACCGCACGUCGGUGGGCCGGAAAUGUAAUGGCCGAGUCUGUUGACCCCGGUGCAGCGAGCUUUUCAGCACGCACCGCGGCGGUCUUCCGGCUCGGCCUCAACCCCGAAUUUUUCAGGUUGACCUCGGAUCAGGUAGGAAUACCCGCUGAACUUAAGCAUAUCAAUAAGCGGAGGAAAAGAAACCAACAGGGAUUGCCUCAGUAACGGCGAGUGAAGCGGCAACAGCUCAAAUUUGAAAUCUGGGCCUCACGGGUCCGAGUUGUAAUUUGUAGAGGAUGUUUCGGGCAAGGCUGCGGUCUAAUUUUCUUGGAACAGAGAGUCAUAGAGGGUGAGAAUCCCGUCUAGGACCGCCUGCCGCGUCCAUGUGAAACUCCUUCGACGAGUCGAGUUGUUUGGGAAUGCAGCUCAAAAUGGGUGGUAAAUUUCAUCUAAAGCUAAAUAUUGGCCAGAGACCGAUAGCGCACAAGUAGAGUGAUCGAAAGAUGAAAAGUACUUUGAAAAGAGAGUUAAACAGUAUGUGAAAUUGUUGAAAGGGAAGCGCUUGCAGUCAGACUUGUGUGUCGCGGUUCCCCCGGUAUUCUUACCGGGUUACUCCGUGAUAUCCAGGCCAGCAUCGGUUCGGGUGGUCGGUCAAAGACCCCGGGAAUGUAUCUACCUCCGGGUAGACUUAUAGCUCGGGGUGUAAUGCGGCCCACCUGGACCGAGGAACGCGCUUCGGCUCGGAUGCUGGCGUAAUGGCUGUAAGCGACC
rnacentral:rRNA from 1 species